rnacentral:rRNA from 1 species
GUGCCAGCCGCCGCGGUAAUACGGAGGGUGCAAGCGUUACUCGGAAUCACUGGGCGUAAAGCGCGCGCAGGCGGCCUUUUAAGUUGGAUGUGAAAGCCUAUGGCUCAACCAUAGAACUGCAUCCAAAACUAUUAGGCUAGAGUGUGGGAGAGGAAGAUGGAAUUAGUUGUGUAGGGGUAAAAUCCGUAGAGAUAACUAGGAAUACCAAAAGCGAAGGCAAUCUUCUGGAACAUUACUGACGCUGAGGCGCGAAAGCGUGGGGAGCAAACAGGAUUAGAUACCCUGGUAGUCCACGCCCUAAACGAUGAAUGUUAGUCGUCGGGUAGCUAGUCUAUUCGGUGAUGCAGCUAACGCAUUAAACAUUCCGCCUGGGGAGUACGGUCGCAAGAUUAAAACUCAAAGGAAUAGACGGGGACCCGCACAAGUGGUGGAGCAUGUGGUUUAAUUCGAAGAUACGCGAAGAACCUUACCUAGCCUUGACAUAUAUUAGAACUCAGCAGAGAUGCAGAGGUGCCUUCGGGAGCUUUUAUACAGGUGCUGCACGGCUGUCGUCAGCUCGUGUCGUGAGAUGUUGGGUUAAGUCCCGCAACGAGCGCAACCCUCGUCACUAGUUACUAACGGUUCGGCCGAGGACUCUAGUGAGACUGCCUUCNNAAGGAGGAGGAAGGUGAGGACGACGUCNAGUCAUCAUGGCCCUUACGGCUAGGGCAACACACGUGCUACAAUGGCCAGGACAGUGAGACGCNAUACCGCGAGGUGNAGCAAAUCU